rnacentral:rRNA from 1 species
CCAGGGAACUACGAGCGUCAGCUUAAAACCCAAAGGACUUGGCGGUGCCCCAUACCUCCUAGAGGAGCCUGUUCUAUAAUCGAUGAUCCACGAUACACCUCACCGUUUCUUGCCAAAACCGCCUAUAUACCGCCGUCUCCAACCUACCCUUUGAGGGAUUUACAGUAAGUUAAAAGAUUACUCAUCAGAACGUCAGGUCAAGGUGUAGCGAAUGAAACGGGAAGAAAUGGGCUACAUUUUCUACUUUAGACUACACGGACAAUCAUUAUGAAACCUGAUUAUGAAGGAGGAUUUAGCAGUAAAAAGAAAUCAGCAAGUUCUUUUUAAGUCGGACCUGGGGCGCGUACACACCGCCCGUCACCCUCUUCAACUCAUUUUACCCUAUAUAUAAUAAAAAUAGCCAGAGAUAAGAAGAGGCAAGUCGUAACAUGGUAAGUGUACCGGAAGGUGCACUUGGAAC